rnacentral:misc_RNA from 1 species
AACGCACAUUGCGCCCCUUGGUAUUCCGGGGGGCAUGCCUGUUCGAGCGUCAUUUCAACCCUCAAGCGCAGCUUGGUCUUGGGCCCUGCCGGCAACGGCUGGCCUUAAAAGCAGUGGCGGCGCCAUCGAGCUCUACGCGUAGUAAUUCUACCCUCGCGUGUGAGUCCCGGUGGCCGCUGGCCAGCAACCCCCAAUUUUUUACUGGUUGACCUCGAAUCAGGUAGGGAUACCCGCUGAACUUAA